rnacentral:tRNA from 1 species
GCGGGUAUGGUCUAGUGGCAUGAUAUAACCUUCCCAAGGUUGAGACGCGAGUUCGAUUCUCGCUACCCGCA